UGGGAGCCUUUGUUUAAAAGUGUGUGGGAG
rnacentral:piRNA from 1 species